GACUGCUGCCAGUGACUGCUGAGAACACAGGAGGGUGAAGAAAGACAAAACUCUGGCUAGAUCCUGCUGGCUAGAUCCUGCCUAGUUCCAGCUGCUGAAAGAAAUAUAUACAGAGGGCUGAAAUCAGAGGUGGUGUAACAGAUUUUCAGAUUUACAUCUUACACCAACAUGAGUCUCAGUUCAGUUGGGAGAGUCUCUUGAUCUCAAAUUUCAGAAGUGUCAUCAGCAUAAACAAGAUCAGGAUCAGCCCAUAAUAGUUCUUUACUGGAAUGAGAAGAC